ACAGCAGGUGUCUCUCGUCUCUCUAUAUAAAACCUUUGAAAAAAAAAACUCUUGUUUCUCUCUCUUUGCUCAAGAUCGAUAGCCAGAGCGCGCACGUGGAUUAUGCGGAUUGAAAUUAUUGGACAAAUAGAGUAGAAUUGAUAUAUUAAAAUUAUAAAGCUUACUUGCUACCAGGUUUCAUGCUUUGUUGAAGAUCCAAUGCUGAUAGCUUCUUGAAAUAGAAGAAUGAGAUAUUUGGUUCAAGAGGUGCUUAAGGAAGUGAUUUAUUUUUGUGAACAUCUGACCUGUUGAGUUGGAGUGUAAGAACCUGUAUGAAAUGGGGACAUUACACCGGAGUCUUUCAAAAAGAACAAAUGAUAGUGGUAGACUUAUUAUAACUACUAUUCUAGGAAUUGUCUUUGGAUUUUUCGUCGGUAUAUCGUUUCAAUCACUUUCUCUUAACAAGAUUCAAUUACCGUCGAGCCUUACUUCAACCAUCGAAUUUGCUGUAAAAAAUCAAAAUCAAAACCAAAUUCAAAAUCAAAAUCAAAUUCUAAAGAGUGAUCCCAGAUAUAAUGAAUCAAGCACUAUUCCCAGGGUAAAUAUA